rnacentral:rRNA from 1 species
CCUACGGGUGGCAGCAGUGGGGAAUAUUGCGCAAUGGGCGAGAGCCUGACGCAGCGACGCCGCGUGAGGGAUGAAGGUCUUCGGAUCGUAAACCUCUGUCAGCAGGGAAGAACGGUCACUGUGCUAAUCAGCAGUGAAUUGACGGUACCUGCAAAGGAAGCACCGGCUAACUCCGUGCCAGCAGCCGCGGUAAUACGGAGGGUCCGAGCGUUAAUCGGAAUUACUGGGCGUAAACCGCUCGUAGGCGGUAUGUCAAGUCUAGGGUGAAAUCCCCGCGCGCAACGUGGGAACUGCCGUUGAAACUGGCAAACUGGAGUGUGUGAGAGGAUAGUGGAAUUCCAGGUGUAGGAGUGAAAUCCGUAGAUAUCUGGAGGAACAUCAGUGGCGAAGGCGACUAUCUGGAACAUAACUGACGCUGAGGAGCGAAAGCGUGGGUAGCAAACAGGAUUAGAUACCCUAGUAGUC